rnacentral:rRNA from 1 species
AGUGAACGCUGGCGGUAGGCCUAACACAUGCAAGUCGAACGGCAGCACAGUAAGAGCUUGCUCUUACGGGUGGCGAGUGGCGGACGGGUGAGGAAUACAUCGGAAUCUACUUUUUCGUGGGGGAUAACGUAGGGAAACUUACGCUAAUACCGCAUACGACCUACGGGUGAAAGCAGGGGAUCUUCUGACCUUGCGCUAUUGAAUGAGCCGAUGUCGGAUUAGCUAGUUGGCGGGGUAAAGGCCCACCAAGGCGACGAUCCGUAGCUGGUCUGAGAGGAUGAUCAGCCACACUGGAACUGAGACACGGUCCAGACUCCUACGGGAGGCAGCAGUGGGGAAUAUUGGACAAUGGGCGCAAGCCUGAUCCAGCCAUACCGCGUGGGUGAAGAAGGCCUUCGGGUUGUAAAGCCCUUUUGUUGGGAAAGAAAAGCAGCAGGUUAAUACCCCGCUGUUCUGACGGUACUCAAAGAAUAAGCACCGGCUAACUUCGUG